rnacentral:piRNA from 1 species
UCUGAGUGCGAAUUGAUUGAUGUUUUC